GGCCGAUAUAGCUCAGUUGGUAGAGCAGCGCAUUCGUAAUGCGAAGGUCGUAGGUUCAAACCCAACAGGGGCCACCA
rnacentral:tRNA from 1 species